CUGAACUUAAGCAUAUCAAU
rnacentral:rRNA from 1 species